rnacentral:tRNA from 1 species
ACUUGUCUAGCUCAGUUGGUAAAGCACAAGGCUCUUAACCUUGUGGUUGUGGGUUCGAGCUACAUGAUGGGUG